GACGUAGGUGGCGAGCGUUAUCCGGAUUUACUGGGCGUAAAGCGCGUGCAGGUGGUUUGAUAAGUCGGGCGUGAAAUCUUCUGGCUCAACUGGAAGAGGCCGUCCGAUACUAUCGAACUUGAGGGCAGUAGAGGGAGGUGGAAUUCCGGGUGUAGUGGUGAAAUGCGUAGAUAUCCGGAGGAACACCAGUGGCGAAAGCGGCCUCCUGGGCUGCCCCUGACACUCAGACGCGAAAGCUAGGGGAGCGAACGGG
rnacentral:rRNA from 1 species